ensembl:ncRNA F45H7.15 ncRNA
UUUAGGCUUAGGCUUAGGCUUAGGCUUAGUCUUAGGCUUAGGCUUAGGCUUAGGCUUAGGCUUAGGCUUAGGCUUAGGCUUAGGCUUAGGCUUA